AGCGAACGCUGGCGGCAGGCCUAAUACAUGCAAGUCGAGCGCACCUUCGGGUGAGCGGCGGACGGGUGAGUAACGCGUGGGAAUAUGCCCUUUGGUACGGAACAACUGAGGGAAACUUCAGCUAAUACCGCAUGUGCCCUUCGGGGAAGGAUUAUCGCCAUUGGAGUAGCCCGCGUUGGAUUAGCUAGUUGGUAGGGUAAAGGCCUACCAAGGCUACGAUCCAUAGCUGGUCUGAGAGGAUGAUCAGCCACAUUGGGACUGAGACACGGCCCAAACUCCUACGGGAGGCAGCAGUAGGGAAUCUUGCGCAAUGGGCGAAAGCCUGACGCAGCCAUGCCGCGUGAAUGAUGAAGGUCUUAGGAUUGU
rnacentral:rRNA from 1 species